GAGCGGGCGUAGCAAUACGUCAGCGGCAGACGGGUGAGUAACGCGUGGGAACGUACCUUUUGGUUCGGAACAACACAGGGAAACUUGUGCUAAUACCGGAUAAGCCCUUACGGGGAAAGAUUUAUCGCCGAAAGAUCGGCCCGCGUCUGAUUAGCUAGUUGGUAGGGUAAUGGCCUACCAAGGCGACGAUCAGUAGCUGGUCUGAGAGGAUGAUCAGCCACAUUGGGACUGAGACACGGCCCAAACUCCUACGGGAGGCAGCAGUGGGGAAUAUUGGACAAUGGGGGCAACCCUGAUCCAGCCAUGCCGCGUGAGUGAUGAAGGCCCUAGGGUUGUAAAGCUCUUUUGUGCGGGAAGAUAAUGACGGUACCGCAAGAAUAAGCCCCGGCUAACUUCGUG
rnacentral:rRNA from 1 species